rnacentral:lncRNA from 1 species
CAAGAACACAAGACACAUCUCUAAUAUAAUAUCCUGCAGAAACCUCAGUUUGCUGUUUGGAGCAGAUUUCCUCAGAUUUAAACCGUACUGCAUCAGAGGAAGACACAGAUUUCUCUGGGACAUUUACCUGUACUGAAUUCUGCCAGAUAUUCGAUGUUUUUCUGCUUGAACCGCCAAGGAAGAAGAGAAGAUCCUUAGUUGAAGCUCUUGAAGAAGUAAUAAAACCAGAUUGAGUCGAGGGUGAUUUGUUCCUUAACUU